UACGUAGGGGGCAAGCGUUGUCCGGAUUUCUUGGGCGUAAAGAGCGUGUAGGCGGCCAUACAGGUCCGUUGUGAAAACUGGAGGCUUAACCUCCAGACGUCGAUGGAAACCGUAUGGCUAGAGUCCGGAAGAGGAGAGUGGAAUUCCUGGUGUAGCGGUGAAAUGCGCAGAUAUCAGGAAGAGCACCCGUGGCGAAGGCGGCUCUCUGGGACGGUACUGACGCUGAGACGCGAAAGCGUGGGGAGCGAACAGG
rnacentral:rRNA from 1 species